rnacentral:rRNA from 1 species
UACGAAGGGGGCUAGCGUUGCUCGGAAUUACUGGGCGUAAAGCGCACGUAGGCGGAUUGUUAAGUCGGGGGUGAAAUCCGGCAGCUUAACUGUCGCAGUGCCUUUGAUACUGUGGAGCUAGAGGGAGGUAGGGGUCUGUGGAACUUCCGGUGGAGCGGUGAAAUGCGUUGAUAUCGGAAGGAACGCCGGUGGCGAAAGCGACGGACUGGAUCUCUUCUGACGCUGAGGCGCGAAAGCCAGGGGAGCAAACGGG